AAUCCAAGCGUGUCAGGCUACAAACCAGGCUAAACACCUUUAUGGAAAUGGCCAUCAAUCAGUCUAUGAGCACUGUGCAAAGCCUGUGCCAACCUUCACUCCCUACAGUGCAUUUCCCACUACUGUCAAAACAAACCCCAGUGAGAAAAUCCUUGGCUUGCAGGACGGUAACUGAAUCCACUGUGCCAUCCUGCCAACAGUCAGGCAGACUGAAGAGGAAAUGCUUCCAGGACAAACAACCACUCAGCUCUCCUCUCGUCGGUUAGGCAGCGGCUCUCUGCUAAUUGUUUUUGAGAGGGUCGCUCAUGAGUUUGUCUCAAAUGCAUUAGGAAGCAAAGACACACCAAUAAUCAAAAUAUCUUUAUGCAGACACAAAAUUCCAAUCUGCAACAAAAGGCAGGAAGAAACAGAGGAAAGAGAAAAGAGACCCUGCAGAAAUCCAACAACUUUAUCAGACAGUUCAUCUUAAGAACAUCAGUCUCUUCACGUGCAUCAGUUUAAGGAAUGUGAUCGCGAAGAACUCCUAAAAUCUGUCCCAGCCUUUCAGAGGAAACGUCCACUGGCUUAAAACUAACAAAAGGUCACAUUUUGUGGGUUUGUGUUCCACAAAUCCAGUGUGUGUACUAAACGUUUGUGAGCGUUCAGACGAGUGUA